UCUAAUGUGGCAGAUUAGUGCAAUGAACUUAAGCUUCGUAUAUAAAGAUUACUCUUUUUUUAGAA
rnacentral:tRNA from 1 species